UUUCAUUUUAGAAUAUCGGUACUGUAGUUGAUUGUUAAGUGUAUUUUGCACCUUGGAAUUUGUGGAUGAAUCACAUUAAUGCUUUGUAGUUUAAAUUGUGGCAUAUUUAUUCCCGAUGAAUGAGGAUUUGUUGUUGUUGUUUUUCUCCCCACUGUUUUAAGAUAGCUGUGCAAUGGUGAAGUCAUUUACAUCCAAAACUUUUCUUGAAAGUUUCAUGCGUUUAGAAUGUACAGGCACUUGGGAAACUUACUUCUUAAACUCUUCUUUGCAAAAGAUAUUCAACAGAAUAAUAUAUUCCAACAAAAAUCUCAGUGGGAAAACCAGUUCACAUAAUCGGGAAUAGAAAUACAGAUUAUGUAGUCAUCAAACAUAGACUAUUCA
rnacentral:lncRNA from 1 species